rnacentral:rRNA from 1 species
AGGACGAACGCUGGCGGCGUGCUUAACACAUGCAAGUCGAGCGGAAAGGCUCCUUUCGGGGGUACUCGAGCGGCGAACGGGUGAGUAACACGUGAGUAACCUGCCCUGGACUUUGGGAUAACCCUCGGAAACGGGGGCUAAUACCGGAUAUGACACGCGGAUGCAUGUUUGUGUGUGGAAAGAUUUUUUGGUCUGGGAUGGGCUCGCGGCCUAUCAGCUUGUUGGUGGGGUGAUGGCCUACCAAGGCGACGACGGGUAGCCGGCCUGAGAGGGCGACCGGCCACGACUGGGACUGAGACACGGCCCAGACUCCUACGGGAGGCAGCAGUGGGGAAUAUUGCACAAUGGGCGCAAGCCUGAUGCAGCGACGCCGCGUGAGGGAUGACGGCCUUCGGGUUGUAAACCGUCUUUCAGCAGGGACGAAGCGUGAGUGACGGUACCUGCAGAAGAAGCGCCGGCCAACUACGUGCCAGCAGCCGC